rnacentral:tRNA from 1 species
UAAAUUGAAGCCAAAUGUUAAGGCGCUUAUCUGUUAACUAAGAGUUAGGGGGAGAUAGAUACCCUCCAGUUUAG